rnacentral:tRNA from 1 species
GCAUUUGUAGCUCAGCGCUAGAGCGCCGGUCUUGUAAACCGGAUGUCGGAGGUUAAAUUCCCCCCUUUUGCU